CCAAGUUGCCCCUCCCCCACUUCAGGACCACCCACGUUGAACACUACCUGUCAAAAUCUGAUUGAUAUAAGGGAGUACCUAUAAUCUCUAACGUUAACAGGUAGUUUGGACUCUGCUCAUUUUCAUGUUUGAUAAUAUUAUCAAACUAUAUAGCAGCCGUUCAACCGGGCUUUGUAAGGUUGGUGAAUAGUUCAUUAAAGGACAACACUGUGGAAUUCCCAGUACCAGUGUGGUUGCCAAAGCACGGAGUAGUGACUUUCCAAACCAUCCUGCAGCCAUACCCGUCUCGUCUCUGGACCAGCAAGAUGGCCACCACUGCACUGUGUCAUCAGCAGCGAUAAACAGAGGCGCAUAACUCUAUGCAUUGGCUCUUCUAAAGAAGAGUCUGUGGGUCCAGACUGGACGUGUGUGGUGGCACCAUACCAGGACUGUUGGAGGCGCCGUGUCGGUCCAAGACGACAACCGUGAAACAUCUGGUGGAGGCAGCUGGACCGGACUUGUCUAACGCCCAGGCCGUUGCAUCUCUGCUGGGGGUCCAGUCCACUAGACUUGUGCAGCGUUUCCUGGACCGUUUGAAGGAGAGGAUGAUGGCCGGAGAGAGGCGUCUCCUGCAGCUCCUCCAUGAAAAAAAGGCUUCGCCGGACCUGACAGACCCGGUCCCUGAUGUGACCCUGAACACCGGCCUCACAAAGAACAGCGGUCCCCUGCUAGCCAGCAAAGACUCACAGAUCAGCCUCCAGAGUACGGGCCCAAAAGUACUCUACAAAAACUGUCAAAGUCCUGAAUGAAAGAACUCUACAGAACAGACCAGUGAGCUUGUGGGCGGAUCGUCUGAGAGGACAAACUUCUCAGUGGAGGACGCUCUACAAAUUUCCCAUAAAAAAAACGGACUGGUGAUCUGCAAUGGAGGAUUUUACAUGGUGCCAUUGCUACCAAUUCGUUUUUAUCGGUUUUUAGUCCAAGGGUUUUAAAUGAGUGUCUUUUCAGUGGCCUGUCUGAGAGUGUUUUUCAUGUUUUUAUUGAUUGUAGGAGACUGACAUUUUUUAGUUUAUUGAUGAGUGUUUUUAGCUGUUUUGGCAUUGUUUUUACCAGUUCUAUAUUUAUUUAUGGACUGUGUUCUAACAAAGCCAACAAGCCAAAGUGCCAGAUUUUAAAUUUCUUAAUUGCAGAAGCCAAAAUGGCUAUUUUAUUUAUCUUGAAAAGACAGAUUCCAGGCUGGACCUCAUCUUGAUGCCUUGGCUCUGUGGAAGUGCAAUGUCAAGGCCAGGCAGACGCUGGAGUUUUGCUUCCACAGAGCCACUGGGAACCCCUGCAGCUAUGGGGUUUUAAUGAGAUUCUGUGCAAUAUAUCAACUCAGGGAAAACUGUUAUUUAACAAGCACCUUAUUUAAUUAUUUUUUAAGCUUGUCCUGAUGUGAAUAUCUUGUGUUUUUAAUUGUAUUCUAUGCACUUUCUUAUUGUAAAUAAAUGGCUUAGAUUAUCUUACACAAGAGCCUACAUUAGAAAUGUUUACACAGGUGGUAAAGACUAAUUCUUUCACUCCUUCAAAAGUAAGAUAUCUCCCAAAUCUUCUGUUUUUGUUUUGAAGAUUUCCUAAAGACACGAUGUGAGGAAGAAGUGUGAAAUAUCUUUUAAAGAGAGACGGAUUCACUGCACAGCAUGGAUGAAUCUCGCAUCGGAUUUUGGUCUCAAUCGCAGAUGCUGAAACACUCUUCAACUAGAAAUAAUAUAUAUAGGUUAUGCAUGU